GGGCCUGGCUCUCCUCUCAACCCUGGGGCACCCGGGUACCCACGCUCUCCUUUCUCUCCCAAGGGUCCAGGGCCGAUGGCCUGAAUGACAGGAGAGAAGAUCACCAUGGGGGCCGGGGCAGGGGCGUGCAGUGCAGGCAGGGGCGUGCAGUGCAGACGAAGACACUAACACCCCUCCAAAUUCUUUCAAGAAAGGUGGCUCAGCUGUGGCUGCGGAUCACAGCUAUGGAAAGGGGGCCCUGCGACCGCCGGGAAGGAGGUUCUGGCCUCACCCACAGCCAUCGGGGUCCUGGGAGUGCAGCCCAAGGAGACACCAUUCACGGCCGCGCACGCACAUGGGGUGCAGGCGAGAAAGACCACCGGGCUCCGCGCUACCGGCAGCAGCCCCUGCUCUGCAGCAAAUGACACAACAUUUCCAUCAUUCCAAAGAAGACUGAGGACAGAAUGGGCCAGCAGGCUCCAGCAGCCCUCUCUGACACGUGACCGGAGAUGGUCAUUCCAAGGUAACGUGCAAACACGAAGGUUUGUUAAAAAAAAAAAAAAAAAAAAUCACUGCAUACACCGAUGGCCCGCAUGUAAAAAUAUGCUCAUGGUUAAGAAGGAAAAUGCUCUUGGUGGACAUAAAAAUGUUUUGCUAGGGAGAGCCCAAUUAUGGAGGAUUGGUUUCUUCUAACAUCUUCCUUAAUGGACCAUUUAAAAAAAAAAAAGUUUCAAAAUGUUCUGCUCCUAUCGUUAUCUACGGGCAAGUCUUGUCAUUGUCCGUGGUCGAGGAAAUGCAGAAACUAUCGAGAUAUAAUAAGAAGUAAGUACCAGACUCCGCACAAUACAGAAUAUAAGCUUAUUAUCUUAAAUAGCGUGUGCCCUCCUUCCACACAGACAUCAUUCUAGGAAUGCCGUGGGGGCACGCAGCCCCAGCUCCUCGGGGACCACCAAACACGACUCUUACUCACAAUGCCAGGUGGGCCUGGAGGACCUGCUUCACCUUUGUCUCCCUACAAAAGAAAACACACUUGCGUUUUUUGACCAUACAGACUGUGUCUUGCAGAAAGCAGGGUUCAACUUCCUUUCCUGCAAAAACACAGACUGUGCUCACGGUAUUUUCUUUCCUCUCCGAAACACCCCUCACAGUGAAGAGCUUAAAGUGCUGCGUACCCAUUAGAACAAACAUGAAUGCAUGUCACUCUGCUUUGCAUAGGCAUGGAAAUAAAGAUUUCUGCAAUUCACAAUGGGGAGUCUGAUUAUUCACAUGACAGAGGAGCUCAUGUGUUUGGUUGCAUGCUCCCUCGGGCAACAUGAACAGAAUCAGUCCUAGGCUGAAUUAGUAUCUGGUGGCUUUUCAAUAAAAUGAAAAUAAAUGGAGUGAAAGCCUUUGAUUCCUAAAUAUAGUCCCUUAAAGGAAUAAUUUUACUAGAGGUUUUUAGGUAUAAGAUUGUCUAAACCUGCACUGGAAGUCAUAAUAAAGGGAUAUUUAUGGUUUCAUCGUUCCCCUUAAAAUCCAGCAUUACCUGAAAACAUCGGGUGGGUAAGUUCUAAUCACUCUGAGGCUUAAUUUCAUUCAUAUUAGGAAAGAAAACAAAGAAAUUAAUCCCUUUAGGAAUGCCUGGAUGGCUCAGUAGUUGAGCGUCUGCCUUUGGCUCAGGUCGUGAUCCCAGGGUCCUGGGAUUGAGUCCCACAUUAGGCUCCCUCAGGGAGCCUGAUUCUCCCUCUGCCUAUGUCUCUGCCUCUCUCUGUGUCUCUCAUGAAUAAAUAAAUAAAGUCUUAUAAAAAAUGAAAUUAAUCCUGUUCUAUGUAAUGGUCUUAUAGAAGUCAUCACAGUAAUCUCUAUAAAAGUCCUAAAAUCUGCACAGAUUCCAUGAAUAUAGUUCCCCACCUUUAAGCCAGGGUAAUAAAUUUAGCAGUAAACCAGAAUUAGCUGUUUGGAUUUUUCUUUUUCUUUCUUUUUUUUUUUUUUUUUUUUGGAUUUUUCUUAUUUGAAUAUGAGACUUAAGAAAUAUCAAUGGGACUUAAAUAUCUUAGCUAAUAAAUUCUAAACAUUUUUAUCUUUUAAAAUCUACUGAGAUUUGACUUUCCCAAAACAGUUACAGUAUCAGUAAAGGAUCCUUCCUUUUGUCCCUGGCUUUCAUGAACAAGCUCUGAGGUCCACUCUGGGGACCUGAGUCACUGCUGGGGAUGCUAUUCCAAAGCUACUGCUUAUGUUAGCAAAGAUUUACAUUACCUAGUCUCAUGAUUACAAGAGAAAAGUAAAGCAUCAAUGAGUUUUUUGCUGCCUAUCACAUUGACAGACAUUUUGUAAAGUUUGAUAACAAGCAGUUGUCAAAAAAAGGGACCCCCCGACAGAAGAAUGUUCUUUUCCAGGGGCAAUUUGGUGGCAUACAGUGAAAAUCUCAAUACAAAAGAGUUUAAACAUUGACUCCAAAAGGACACUUGUAGCAAUCUAGGACGUGGACAUGAUCGGACAAGUAAACAAAUACUUGUGCUCAUAAGCGUGUGGGUGUGACCCACACAUCACGCAGCACGAGGCAUGGACGCAGGGUGGCCCCAGUGACUGUGUGCGGGCAUUCAAAUGCAUCCACGCCAUGUCAUUAAGUGAGGAGGCAGGAUGCACCACAAUCCGCCCUGUGUUAGAGGGGCGUGUGCCCGUGCACAGACAGGAGGGUUGCACAUUCUGACCAUUUCUGAGCGGGUAAUGGAAAAAUUAGACAAGCUUGCUUUUCUCCACUCUAUCUACAUUUUUGAUUGAUUCUUAACCAGGUACCAUUCAUCUACUACAAAAAAGACAUAAAAACUUGAAAGAGCGGAACAUUUUCUGUUCCCCUUUUUAAAACAUCACACGCAUAACUAAAACCAUGAAAUUAAAUUGUGCAUUGUUCAUAUGGACGUCAAUAAUUUCUAUUAUGUGAGUCCACAGCGCCUUAGGAAACUAACAGACUGAAGGGGAAAGCUUCCACAGCGUCUCGGCUUACCUUGAAACCUUCACGGCCUGGGAGUCCCGGAUACCCCGAGUCGCCUGGAAAGCCCUGCAGUGGGACACGGAAAGCACCCAUUGUAAGCUGGCCAAGGCAACUGUCUCUUCUUAAAAAUUACAGAGAAAUACUUACUGGACUCCCUUUUUCUCCCUUUUCACCAUCUUUUCCAGGUUUUCCCUGUACAACAAAUAUGGAGACAUCAGUAUUUCACAAAAGAAAAAACAAGCACACCCCAACACCCAGGCUGGGAACCUCUCCGCGUGAGCCCACGAUACCAGAGGAAUGCAUACGCAUCUACACAGAGCAACCACGGAAAGGGAUAGCAGAAAAGGACUUUUUGACUUUUAAACAACGGAACCUGAUGAUUGGUGAGAAAUUUACUGUUUAAAGCAACUGCAGGAUAAGAGUCCACAAAAAAGCAAGGCAUGAUUACGUCUUUCUUGAAUGUUAAAUAUGAGGAAACUAUAUCUCCUCCUCAAAUAAAGAGCGUUCUGAGGCAAGUAACUUUCUAACUGGGACAACUAAAUACAUGCUCACAGGACAACACUGUCUGACUUCUCAACAUGGGAUGCUGGGCAGCCUGAUCAUGGGGGAGGGGUGUUUGUCCCAAAUUUACCUUUGUUCCAUUGCACCCAGGGAUACCUGGAGGACCGGGGGGGCCGUCUUGGCCAGGAAUGCCCUGCAAUUAAAAAAGUGAAAAGGUAGCCAACACAGAGGAUCACUCGAUGAUGCUGUCACUCCAGUCAAACGUCUCACUAAGGAAGUACACGCAUUUUAGAUACAUACAGGCAGUCCUGGAUUUCCAGGGUAACCCGAUGCUCCUGGGGGUCCCUGUAAGGAUAGAAAUGAGAGAACGCACUGAGUGCUGGGCACCCUCACAUACUCCCACUGCACCCACCCGGCUAAGGGUGCCAGAGCUGCUGCCUGCAGCACCCCCACGCAGCACACAGGGCAUUCAGCAGGGCAGGCAGCUGAGGUUCACAGCCCACAAAGGCAGCAGUCCUACAUCCGAAGCUGACUCUAACUACUUCUGAAGUCAAGGCUGCACCCUCACAGAAUAACUGUCCUCACUUCACACUUUGUGAUUUCUAGGUAAAAUACGUUUAUUUUAUUUUAUAUAUAUAUAAUAUAUAUAUAUUAAUAUAUACACAUAUAUAUUAAAUAUGUAUGCAAAAUAUAUAUGCGGAAGCUAUAUACAU